UGAGUAACACGUGAGCAACCUGCCCCUGACUCUGGGAUAAGCGCUGGAAACGGCGUCUAAUACUGGAUACGAGGAGCGACCGCAUGGUCAGCUUCUGGAAAGAUUUUUUGGUUGGGGAUGGGCUCGCGGCCUAUCAGCUUGUUGGUGAGGUAAUGGCUCACCAAGGCGUCGACGGGUAGCCGGCCUGAGAGGGUGACCGGCCACACUGGGACUGAGACACGGCCCAGACUCCUACGGGAGGCAGCAGUGGGGAAUAUUGCACAAUGGGCGCAAGCCUGAUGCAGCAACGCCGCGUGAGGGAUGACGGCCUUCGGGUUGUAAACCUCUUUUAGCAGGGAAGAAGCGAAAGUGACGGUACCUGCAGAAAAAGCGCCGGCUAACUACGUGCCAGCAGCCGCGGUAAUACGUAGGGCGCAAGCGUUAUCCGGAAUUAUUGGGCGUAAAGAGCUCGUAGGCGGUUUGUCGCGUCUGCUGUGAAAUCCCGAGGCUCAACCUCGGACCUGCAGUGGGUACGGGCAGACUAGAGUGCGGUAGGGGAGAUUGGAAUUCCUGGUGUAGCGGUGGAAUGCGCAGAUAUCAGGAGGAACACCGAUGGCGAAGGCAGAUCUCUGGGCCGUAACUGACGCUGAGGAGCGAAAGGGUGGGGAGCAAACAGGCUUAGAUA
rnacentral:rRNA from 1 species